AAAAGCUACAGAUCAGACCACCAUAACUAUAGAUUCUGUAUCCAGCUACAAGUCCAGGCAGAAGCCCUUGUUGCUCAUAAAGAACAUUUUCCUGCAGGUGUAAAAGGAAGGAUUUUGAUGACCACGCCGUGAAAACUGUCUUCCAGUAUUACUGAGCGUUGAUCUCAGAGGACGACAACAUUCCCAACAAACUGCAAGAACAAGCUCAUCAAGUUUGUGGAAACGUUAUUUAUUCAAGUGAUUCAGCAUCUUAUUUCCCUCGAGCAAUGACUAAUGAGAUCUGUUUCUGUUCUGAAACUCCACUACACCUGGCAUUAACAUGCAUCCUUGGUGAUCAGACGAUGUUUAAGUAGAGCAUAAACACAUAGAAACUGGGUGCAAUCAUAUAAAACUAGCCACAUUAGCCUUAGAUGUGCUUUGUGUUCAGUGCCAAUAAGUGAGUAGUAACAUGCUAGCCCACUUAUUUCAGAUGCAGAACAUUUUAAACAUUACACCUGAUUACACCUGAUUAACUGUUGGUGAGUUAACUGAGUCAUCACUCCGAUCAGCAGAUUUACUGAGAAGCGAUCGGUCCUUUACCUUUAAGUAACUUUUCAAACUUUUGAGGGCUGCAGCUUAUAACAGCUGACUCAUUUAUUUCUCUUAUCUUUAAUCUGAUGUCUGAAGUUAACAACCCAAAUGGCCAUUCAGUGACUCCAGUUAACAGGAUCAGACACCACUUCUCACUCAGAUGAGGCCACCACCCUCCACUGUUCACCUCUGCAUACAAGCAUCAUUUCUUUGCUGCCCGCAGCCUAAACCAGUGCCAAACCAAACGGGUGAGAAGAUGUCUGGAAUGUGUCUCGCUGUUGUCAAAUGUUGGGCAGGGAUGUAAAUGAAUGGCUGCCCUUGGGUAUGCGCCUCUCACACAUCCAGAUAACCAUCAGCAGUCGUUCCCUUCCCCUCAUGUUUUCUUUGCUAUGAUCACACACGGGCUGUUUUGCCACUUGUUGGCUGAGCAUACAACAAUAAUGGCUGCCUUUAUCAGAUGGAUGAUUACUUGACCCUGAACAAAGCAGACCACACACUCUCCCACAGGUAAACACACACACACACACACACACAAAUGUAUAUACCUGCCGAUGGUGGAAACACAUAAUAAUUGAAAACUUUGUUCUUCCAUUUGAAUGGUUCGAUCAGCAAGAAGCUGUUAUGCUGCAUCUUAAUCAGCGUCGCAUUUAGCAGACAGUCGAGUGAGCCUGUUCAGUCUCCUGUUCAAGGACACUGGCAGGACUCGUGGCUGCUGCUGGUCUCACACUCCUCUAUUAUUUGUGUUGUUAUGAAAGCAUUGUUUCAUAUUCGUGCUGUGUGACUUUAUUACACAAAUAUGGUGAAAAAAGGGGCAUAUUUCUAUCAUAAGUACGAUAAAUAAUCCUUAAAUGGCAGGAUUUUAUUUGUUUUUAGUUCUUUUUGCACUGCUGAGUCUGCUGUUAUAAGCCUAUUUGUGAUGUAAAAGUUUCUGAUGAAGACAAAACUGUCUUUAUGAGGAAAAUAUCAGCAUUUGUUGUUUUUUUCUGUGCAUCACAUUCAAAGCUUCUUCUGAGGUCUUCAAAUAAUAACUUGAAUCUCUGUUAAAAAAAUGGAAAUCCUCAAACUAAAUCUUGAAUUUGAAGGGAUAAAUUAAGUCUUUUUAAACGAUUAUUAUUACUAAAUCCCUUUGUGUGCAAUAAGUGGGAGAACAAACUGUUUCUUAACAGCCACAAAAAAAAUCGUUUUUUAAAGGAAACAUGCAACAAAUCUGCAUUAAAGCAGAUACAACAUUAGGUCUGAAACAACAUGAAACAAUCAAACACUAAUAUAGCGGGUUUAAAGACAGAAGACCUGCAGAGCAUUUGCAGCAUUUGAACGUGGAUUUAGAAUUUGAAUGUCUGCAUUAUGAAUGAAGAUCAAACUACUGUAUUUGAUGCAGCCCUGAUAGCAGUGGGAGAACGUUUAGACUGAAAUAGCUCCGUUGUUGUUGCUGUUAUUGGCACCACAAAACCCUCGAAAGAAAUUCUGUGACUUCCGCCCAUUUCCCAUUUCCUCCUCACAAGAAUGUGCUUUCAUUCCCAUGCUUCUGUGGCAAAAAUACCAGUAUCACUAAAUGGGGGCUCCAGUGUCCUGUACACAACAAAUGUUGUCACUAUUAAAUAAUGCUGGUUGUUGCCAGGAACAAAAAUGCAGUAUGGCAUUUAAUAAUACUGGUUGUUAUCCUGAUAUGAAUCAUUUGUGCUCACCUGCUGUUGUCAGUUCAUUGCAUGUGUGACUGCUCGUGGGAUUCAGCCGCUCGUUGCGCUGCUUUCUGCAUGCUUGAGAUCACGCUACCCGCACAGACAUGUUUGUGUGCACUUUUCAUACCCCUUCACAGAUAAGAGCACCCUUAUUGAUGUUUCGAGGGCAUGCACUAAUGUGGGCGCACUCAAACAACAACCUGAACAUCUUUAGAGAAUGUGAGGGCAGGGAAACCAAGAGCAGAGCAGCCACAGUGGAAUUCAAAAACAAGGAGAUGCUGUGAACAAAGAAAACCAUCUUACAUAUCGCAUUGACAUGACAGAGUGCCUUAAUAUGCAAAUUAGACCCAUUUCAAAAGUUCACAUGUAUAGUCAGCAUUUCUUUUCAAUGACUUCCAGGUGAUGUGACCCAUAGCAAAAAAAAACAAACAAAAAAAAACAUGAUUCUGUCUCCAUCAGAAUCGUUUUAGUAACAUCAACCUCAGCCUGUCAGUGGUAAAAACAAGCCAGUGCACAUAAUCUUGACAGUUGGACUGACCAGUGGAUUACGUUGCAGCCAUUUGCAGACAGCGAUCUGCUGGAAGACGUGGCCGAGGUUUAAAAUCACCAGGAUUACCCUUUGAGCAUGCAGUAGUCAUGUCUGUGUCUGCCCUCUCCUCUGAAUGUAUAAGAAAUAAAGACUAAAUACAUGUAUAAAAAA